rnacentral:lncRNA from 10 species
CUUGAACCGGGAGGCGGAGGUUGCAGUGAGCCGAGAUCGCGCCACUGCACUCCAGAGACAGUCUCAAAAAUAAAUAAAAAUUAAUUUUUUUAAAAAAAGAGCUUCAAUAACAGAAUCUUCUCCUUCCACCCGACUGUCCAUCAAACACGUAUAAUCAAAUGAUGCCCACUCUCCACAGAUGUCUUUUCUGGAGAAAAUAAUACGCUCGUUCCUCUAAUUAGCCCAUCGGUUUCAGGUUCAUCACUCUGCUAUCUUCUCCUGGAGUUUACAAAAGCCCUUCAGAGUGUAAACACCGAUGUGGAUUCAAUCCCACUUCCGGAGAGAGGAUCAAACCAGGAAUCUAAUACAACUGAAAACGGAGCCUGAGCCAGGUGUAUCACGCGAUGCACUGGGCUCCAGCAGGAUUACCCCUGGAAUCGGCGUCUGCACCCACUCCCAGCCCUCGUGCUAACUGCGUACGCUUAGCAGAAUUUCUCUGAUCCUUGGACCCAGCUGCGUAAAAAUAAACUUCCUCUCCUGCCACGGGCGCGAAUAACUGUGUUAACAUCAAAUAAAAACGUCUGGGAGAAAUACCAAGUUAGGGUCGCUGUCAUUAGC